GACAGAGGCCUCGAGCGUUAGGCGGAAUCACUGGGCUUAAAGCGUGUGUAGGCGGACCCCUAAGUGUCUUGUGAAAUCCCACGGCUCACCCGUGGAACCGCUGGGCAUACUGGGGGUCUUGGGCCAUUCAGGGGCGACUGGAACAAGCGGUGGAGCGGUGAAAUGCGUAGAUAUCGGGAGGAACACCGGUGGCGAAGGCGGUUCUCUGGGCCUGUACUGACGCUGAGGAGCGAAAGCGUGGGGAGCGAACAGG
rnacentral:rRNA from 1 species